UGCAAAAGCAAACAUGGUGUGAUAUUGGUUUUGGCUCAUAUCUCUGAUAAUUAGCUUAUCUUCGAUCAUAAAUCGUCAUGAUGCACAACAAAGACUAGUACUACGUACUCUUUGAGAUGAGCCGAACCAAUAUCACUCUUGUAUGCUUCUUUGCA